UGGGGGAUAUUGCACAAUGGGGGAAACCCUGAUGCAGCAACGCCGCGUGAGGUAUGAAGGCCUUUGGGUUGUAAGCCUCUGUCCUAGGGGAAGAAAAAAAUGACGGUACCCGAGGAGGAAGCCCCGGCUAACUACGUGCCAGCAGCCGCGGUAAUACGUAGGGGGCAAGCGUUAUCCGGAAUUAUUGGGCGUAAAGAGUGCGUAGGUGGUCUACUAAGCGCGAGGUGAAAGGCAAUGGCUCAACCAUUGUUAGCCUUGCGAACUGGCAGACUUGAGUGCAAGAGAGGAAAGCGGAAUUCCUAGUGUAGCGGUGAAAUGCGCAGAUAUUAGGAGGAACACCGGCGGCGAAGGCGGCUUUCUGGAUUGUAACUGACACUGAGGCACGAAAGCGUGGGUAGCAAACA
rnacentral:rRNA from 1 species